rnacentral:snRNA from 1 species
AUACUUACCUGGCAGGGGAGAUACCAUGAUCACGAAGGUGGUUUUCCUAGGGUGAGGCUCAUCCAUUGCACUGCGGGUGUGCUGACCCCUGCGAUUUCCCCAAAUGCGGGAAACUCGACUGCAUAAUUUGUGGUAGUGGGGGACUGCGUUCGCGCUCUCCCCUG